rnacentral:rRNA from 1 species
CCCUUAGAUGUUCUGGGCAGCACGCGCGCUACAAUGGUCUUCGCAAACGGAUGCAUUCUCGAAGGAGAAUGCCAAUCUUGGAAUCUAUGCCUUGGUCGGGACAGUUGCUUGCAAUUUUUCGACUCGAACCAGGAAUUCCUUGUAAUCGUGAUUCAUCACAUCACAAUGAAUACGUCCCUGCCCUUUGUACACACCGCCCGUCGCCCCUACCGAUCGAAGAGUUAGGUGAAUUGUUUUGAUCGAUAAGAUUUGACUAUGGUCAACUCUCGUUGUGAAAUUCUGUGAAUCUGACUGUUUAGAGGAAGGAAAAGUCGUAACA